UUUCAUGGGGUGUACUGGGAUUGAGGCUGUGUUGGGCUUUGGUUUACAUCGGUGGUGACAAAUUUAUCAUCCUUGGGCCGUCAGCAGUCUGUCACUGUCUUUACACCCCUAAGCCUGAAGCCGCCACAAGGAUUUGGCAGAUUUGUGUUUAUGUGUGUGAGAGGGGGACUGAGAGGGAGAGAUAGGUCUCCCUUAGGAGCCCUCACCUUAAAUAACCCCACGUCAAAGACAUGCAAUGGCACAAAAGCACAUCGCCAUAUACCAUACUGUGGCCAAGUACUGAUGUUGGUUAAAAAUUAGAUGUUUUGUUUCAUGGAAAGACGUACACCAUAGCAGUUUUCAAUAUGAAAUCAAUAAAACAUCAACAUCACAUUCUUAUUGGCAUACAAGUCUCCAAGAUUAAUCUCUACAUGUAAAGUCAAUGUGCAGAUUAAAUUCCCAUCCAUUACACCAAACAACAGGGGUUUGAUUCUAGGUAACUCCUCUCUUUGCAAUUCCAGUCUGCUUAAGACUUAGCAAAUUAUUAAAGAAAGUUGUUGUGUCCAGAAGCACUCACAAAGUAAAAAAAAAAAUAGUAAAAACAUCCCUUUGGUUUUAAAAAGGAAAUCUAGUGUGUUCUCCAAACUGUCCUCCUGGAUACACAUCAUUUCAUACUAUCUUAUCUUUAUCUUUCUGACUGCAACCAACUCUUAAAAAAUGUCUUUCUUGGAAUAAACUGCACUCAAUGAAUUUCAUUGCAUAAAGUGUCUGAAAAACUUACAACAUUUACAGUACAUCAAAUUUUCCAGACGCUACCUAAGGUAAGCAUGUUGUGACCAGUCUUAUGUCACUGGAAACACUCAUAUUAUGCAAACAGGACUUAAAAAAGCCUCCAAAAUGAAAUCCUGCAAACUUCAAAAGUUGCAUUAACCAGGAUUUCUGGACAACACUGAAAAAUCUAAAUCCAGUCCAUGGUUGGACUUGAACAUCCACUGCACCACUAGAGAAAACACCUCCUGAUUUUGCUGCAGUCUCAUCCUACUGUCAUUGAUGUUGCCUGAAUUUUUGCAUUGAUAUUUCUUUUUCUCUCUUGCAUUAAACCAGGAGUUACUUUGGACACAAACCUUUAGCAUUUGUCAUUGCACUUGUCACACCUGCACAACAGAAAGUGCAAAAAGAUCAGUGCUCUUCAUGGCUGAAAACACCAUCUGUAAAUGAAUAAAGCAGAUAUAAUUUGACCAAAUUUGGAUCAGGUGUUGUAAAGAGUGGAUUAGAUCUGGGCACGAUGACAGCUGAUGUAAACAGUGGAAGAAGCUCAUAUCUGUUACCUUUGUUUGUGUUAUUUUGUUUUAGGCUUACAAAUUAAAUACAUAUUGUCCAAUUAUACUCUGACCAAUAAUAUCUAGGAAGAAAAGAUGUUAGGAAGAACUUGCAUUUAAUCUAAAUGUGGGUUCUUUGUAAACUAAAGUUGGGAAAUUAUGCAGUGUUGAAAUAUUGGUUUUGAUAUUUAUUAAAUUGACUACAAUUCACAUUUUUGCACUUUUAUUUUAUGAAAAAGGAAACAACACGACCAGCAACAAAACUGACUUAUUUUUUGCUGUAAUUUUAAAUACCUGAAACUGAAGUGAGGGGGUAAGUGUCAGCCAAGCAGCCGAGGAAACAGCCCUGUGUUCAAAACUUCCAUUUAAAAUAUUUACAAUAAAUGAUACAUACGAUUGUCAAAAGUCAGUAAGGUGGGAAUUUUUGUGAGAGGACACUACUUAAGCAUGUAGAUAAGAUAAGCAAAAAGUGCUUUGGCCAAACAGAAAAUUCCACUCAGGAGCUCUAAAUUGUAUAUGAAAGUAAACAUGUUGUAUGUUCAGAGUAAGCCAAACAUACACAGUGGUAUAACAAUACUAUAUCAGCUUUGGCACAACAUUUAAAUAUUUAAAGUGAUGAAAGUGAAUUUUUGACUGUACUCUAGACUUUUCUUGGCAUCCAUUUUUCCAUUCAAUACAUCCUGUAAGAACACCUCUUAUUCAAAGUACAUCGGCUCACUCUUUAUUAUUGUUUCACAGCUUGAUGAGAGUUUGAAUCCUGCCAGAAUUAGAUUUUUACUCUGAAGUUUUGUCUUGACACAGAAAGGCAGCAGCGUAGAUAAGAGCGCCUCCACACUGUCUGAGCUCUGCUUUAAACCAGCGCCAGCUUUUUUUUUUUUGUACCACGUGUCAAAUUUGGGGCGAUGAAUCAUCUUAUGUUUGCGCGUGAAUGUGUGUGUGUGAGUCUGUCUACUUCGCCAUCCAUUUGCUGCAUGUCUCUCCCCGCCUGGGGUAAAAAAAGAGGAAAUGACAGUUUGGUUUGAAAAUUAAAUCAGUUUACUGUAGACGUGGAGAGGUUGAGCUUUUUCUGCAUAAUGGUCCAGAAAUAGUUCACCGUGAGUAAUUUCAGCAGAGACAGAGUGCCUGGCAGGUCUGCUCAAUAAGCACUCCGUCUACAAUAUAGUGACACAUCUCGCACAGUGAAAAUAGGAAGUUAAUGAAAGCACUCACGGACAGGCAGAGAGAGUGAUUCACACGUUGCUGAUAGACGUAAUUGUGCAGGAAAGAGUUCAAUUGCUGCUUCUAAAAUAUGAGAUUUUGACAAAAGCCUUCGACACUAGCACGGGUAUUAUUACACUUGACAUCUUAUUAACACCCAACUCUCCCCUCUGAGUGUCUUUCUUUUUUUCAUACAGAUUUUUCUCCGUCUUUUUCUCUGUCCUUUUUAUCUACCCUCCUCUUUCUCUCUCUCUCUCUCUUUUCCCCAGACAAACCAUUACCCCAUUAAUUUCAACCAUUUCUCAAACUGAUAAUUAAGCAUUUUAGCUCCUGGUGGGGUUACAAAAACAUGCAUAAAGUGCCGGUUAAGUGUCCUGCAAUUUUGUAAUUACCGUUCAAUGAGCAACCUGAUGAAAACUGCAAAUGUGUUGAAUGUUAGAAAUAACUGGUACAAAGACACCUAGAAUCAGGACCAGCCAGCCUCUACAGGGUGUUUCAUAAAAGGGUAAUCCUCUUACAUAUGUGUUAACCUGAAAAAGUCACGCUAUGGUGAAAAGAUAAAAAGUGAUGCAUGGCUAUGCUUUGGUUAUCUCCUCUUAAGUCCCAACCCC
rnacentral:lncRNA from 1 species